ACUCCCUCGCUGCUCCGAGUCGGGAUGGGCUAAAGCGGCUUCCGCUACGCCGCCCGGCCGAUAGGGUUGCGGGGGAAACCCCGCCGCCUUCCAAUCUUGAAAAGGAGUCAAUCGCAUGGCCUC
rnacentral:ncRNA from 2 species